rnacentral:lncRNA from 1 species
UUUCACAAGAACACUGUCCCCUCCAAACGCAGUGACUUUUAUCCCCCGCCCCUUCUCCCGCCUGCCUCACCAGGGCGCACACGCUCCUUGGCCCCGGUCGGCUGGCUGUGAUUGGCGCCGGCGGCCCCAGCAGAUGACGGAGGAGACAAAGUGAUGGCUGCAGGUCGUCUGAGGUCCCACCCCGGCCACGUGCGGCUUCUGUGAUGACAGGUCCAGAAGGGCGGGGCUUUGGCUGACUAGCUAGAGGUCUGUGCAUGUGAGCCUAGGUGCCUGCGGAGUCUAGAAGAGAAUGUCAGAUCCCCUAGAGCUGGAGCUACAGGGACCUGUUCGAACUCAGGCCAUCAGGAGUGGCAGCAAGCCAUUUUACUCCCUGAGCCAUCUCAUCCACUUUGGGGUUUUCUUAAUUACAUCAUGGGAAGGCCCAUCUUGAAUGUUAUGGAUGUACGCAGUUCCCUCAAGCCUCUGCAAUGUGGCCUCCCUGCCAUGACGGACUGUAACUUGGAACUGUGAUAUAAAACAAACCCAUACCUAAG